AAGAAAAAUAUCAAUAGUUGACAGCCGACAAUAAAGCUAGCAAUAUAGAAAAAAAUCCUUGAUAAUGGCUUUGCAAAGACAAUCGAAAUAUCGGAACAAAACUAUUUAUAUUGUAACUAAGGGCUUUUGGUUCAAUUGGCCUACAGCUGGAGCAAUAAAAAAAAUAAAAAAAAAUCGAUUUCUACAACAUUUUGUUCAAAUUUUGCACAUAUCUUUGAUGAACUUGUGGCAUGAGGACAGACCGCUAUAUGGAUUGUUAAUCUUAUAUAGUAUCUUAUAAUGAAACAAAUUUUAUAAAACGUUUUGUUUUUCAAAAUGUCAUUUAUAACAAAUAAACAUGUUAUAUAGAUGUA